CACCUCGUGUGCACAAAACUCAUGGCACUGGCUUGACGGCUUUCUCUGAUUCCGCCUGGCGCAUCCACACUGUCCCUUCUCGGCCAGGGCUCAUCUCCUAUGCCUGGACCAAGCAGCAUGGUUUUCAGUCUCCCUGGUCUCCCCACACGUGACCCCACCCAUCCUCUGAAGCAGCCCCAGGAGGCAGCAGUGACGUCACACUUCUAGUACCCGGCCCUCCCGGCCCUCCUCUCUGGGCUUGCUUGCCAGGGUCCUCCCAACCUGACUGCUGCCUCCCACCUCCUCUCCGCCCCUGGAGCUCUCCAGCCGCAGCCCAGCCGCGGGGCCUGCUUGGGAUUCUCCUCUGCUGGCAUCAUCCCUGCCUGCCUCAGCCUUCCCAGGCCCAAUCCUGCCCAAUCUCACCUCUUCCCACCCAUCCACCUGGCCAGGUCCCCACCAGCAUCUGCCUUCAAACCUGGAGUCCUUCUCUGAGUGCUUGCGGUCCACUGUGAGGAAGGAAAUCAAUUUAAAGGAUUAUGACCCACAUUUUUUAAAAAUAAAAAGAUUAAGGAGAAACA
rnacentral:lncRNA from 1 species